rnacentral:rRNA from 1 species
GUACCAAUGUAUAUAAGAAUAAAUCAUUUUUCCCCCUAAGUAUGGGCGACAGAAAAGGAGCAACGGAGCGACAGAGAGAGUACCGCAAGGGAAAGCUGAAAGAGAAGUGAAAUAAUCCAGUGAAGCCCCGUAAAGCAAAGAUUAAACCUUGUACCUUUUGCAUCAUGAUUUAGCCAGUGUCUACCGAGCAAAAAGCAUUUUAGUUUGUUUACCCGAAACUUCGUGAGCUACUCCAAGACAGCCUAAUUAAUAGGGCGAACCCGUCUCUGUUGCAAAAGAGUGGGAAGAGCUUCGAGUAGAGGUGAUAAACCUACCGAACCUAGUUAUAGCUGGUUGCCUAGGAAACGAAUAGGAGUUCAGCCUCCUGGCUUCUUCCUUCACCCAAGUAAGACUUUUUAAGAUGUCAAAGAAACCACGAGAGUUAUUCAAAGGGGGUACAGCUCCUUUGAUAUAAGAUACAACUUUCUAAGGCGGGUAAAGAUCAUAAUAACUAAAGGUAAGACCUCCUGGUGGGCUUGAAAGCAGCCACCCCCGCAGAAAGCGUUAAAGCUCAGAAACACUACCAACCCCUUCAAUUACGAUCACAAAAUCUUAUCCCCCUAAUUCCACUAGGCCAUCCCAUGCACCCAUGGGAGUGACUAUGCUAAUAUGAGUAAUAAGAGAGCUAAUGCCUCUCUCCCCGCACGCGUGUAAGUCAGAACGGACAAGCCGCCGAGCCUUAACGGCCCCAACCAAAGAGGGCAUUGAGAAAUAAAUAGAGAACUGGAAGAACACUCAAUAGACUAACCGUUAACCCCACACAGGUGUGCCCCCAGGGAAAGACUAAAAGGAAAAGAAGGAACUCGGCAAACAAACAAGCCUCGCCUGUUUACCAAAAACAUCGCCUCUUGUAUUCUUAAAAUAAGAGGUCCCGCCUGCCCUGUGACUAUAAGUUUAACGGCCGCGGUAUUUUGACCGUGCAAAGGUAGCGUAAUCACUUGUCCUUUAAAUGGGGACCUGUAUGAAUGGCACGACGAGGGCUUGACUGUCUCCUCUCUCCAGUCAAUGAAAUUGAUCUCCCCGUGCAGAAGCGGGGAUAAAACCAUAAGACGAGAAGACCCUAUGAAGCUUUAGACGCCAUGACAGAUUAUGUUAAACAACCCUUUUAAAGGAAUAAACCUAGUAACCCCUGUCCAAAUGUCUUUGGUUGGGGCGACCGCGGGGAAAUAAAUAACCCCCAUGUGGGACUGAGAGAACUAACUCUCUUACAACCCAGAGCUACAGCUCUAAGUAACAAAAUUUUUGACCUAAAGGAUCCGGCAAUGCCGAUCAACGAACCGAGUUACUCUAGGGAUAACAGCGCAAUCCCCUUUUAGAGUCCCUAUCGACAAGGGGGUUUACGACCUCGAUGUUGGAUCAGGACAUCCUAAUGGUGCAGCCGCUAUUAAGGGUUCGUUUGUUCAACG